AGACCAUGGCGGGGACAUCUUCUUUAAAGAUCCUUAAAUUUCUCCCAAGCUUCAUAUUAUAACUCGCCUUCAUGUUGAGUGAAACUUGUAAUAUCCAUGCGAAGUUU